rnacentral:misc_RNA from 1 species
GUGCCGUCGCAAACGCAUUAAGCACCCCGCCUGGGGAGUACGGCCGCAAGGCUAAAACUCAAAGGAAUUGACGGGGACCCGCACAAGCGGCGGAGCAUGUGGCUCAAUUCGACGCAACGCGAAGAACCUUACCAGGGCUUGACAUGCGGGGUGACGCCGUGGAAACACGGUGCCCCUUCGGGGGCCCGCACAGGUGCUGCAUGGCUGUCGUCAGCUCGUGCCGUGAGGUGUUGCCUUAAGUGGCGCAACGAGCGCAACCCCUGUCCCAUGUUGCCAGCGGGUCAUGCCGGGGACUCAUGGGAGACCGCCGGUGCCAAAUCGGAGGAAGGUGGGGAUGACGUAAGAGAGUACGUCC